UUUAAGCUUCUUUAAAUACCCGGCCUCGAUCCUCCUUAAGCACUUCACCAACAAGAAACUAAACCAAACCUCUCUCUCUCUCUCUCUCUGUGAAAUUGAAUUCCUAGCUAUAUGGCUUCUUCUACCUCGCUACAUGAAUAUAGUUAUAGUAAUGAAUCAGCUGAUAUUAGAACAGCAGUACUGGAGGUUGAAACAGUAGGCCAUAAUGAUCCACUGCCUAGAACUGCAACUGUAACUAGGUCAGGGCCGGGUGCUGCUCGAAACCGAAACCAGAACGAAAACUAUCCAAAGUUAGAAGAGGGUGUUUUCUUGACGUGGGAGGAUUUGUGGGUGACUGUGGUUUCUAAGGCAAAGAAUGAAAAUGGUAGCAGAUCAAGAUCAAUCCUCCAAGGUGUAACUGGUUAUGCCAGGCCUGGGGAGCUCUUGGCUAUAAUGGGUCCUUCUGGCUGUGGCAAGUCUACUCUUCUUGAUGCUUUAGGAGGGAGAUUGAGUUCAAACACAAGGAAAACAGGGAAGAUCUUAAUCAAUGGGCAAAAACAAGCACUGGCAUAUGGAACUUCGGCAUAUGUGACACAAGAUGAUACUUUGAUCACAACUUUAACGGUCAGCGAAGCCGUAUACUACUCGGCUCAGUUGCAAUUGCCGGACUCCAUGUCCAAGGCAGAGAAGAAAGAGAGAGCAGAAAUCACAAUAAGAGAGAUGGGUUUGCAAGAUGCCAUGAACACAAGGAUUGGAGGGUGGGGAUCUAAAGGCCUCAGUGGUGGGCAAAAGAGGAGAGUCAGCAUUUGCAUUGAGCUUCUUACACGCCCAAAUCUUCUCUUCCUCGACGAACCAACAAGUGGCCUUGACAGUGCAGCUUCUUAUUAUGUCAUGAGCAGAAUUGCAAACCUGGAUAAAACUGAUGGAAUUCCAAGGACUGUAAUUACAUCCAUCCAUCAACCUAGCUCUGAAGUCUUCCAACUUUUCGACAAUCUUUGCCUUCUGUCCGCAGGAAGAACUGUGUAUUUUGGCCCUGCUUCUGCAGCAAAUCAAUUUUUCUCCUUAUGUGGUUUCCCUUGCCCAACUCUCCAAAAUCCAUCAGAUCACUUCCUUAAGACUAUAAACAAAGAUUUUGAGCAGGACAUUGAACAAGGCAUGGUUGGACGCACACCCACAGAAGUAGCGAUUGAUACUCUAAUAAAGUCCUAUAAAGAAUCUGAAAGUUAUCAGCAAGUUCAAGGACAAGUAGCUGAACUAUGUAAGCAGGAUUUUGGUGAAGAAUUGGAGAAGAGAAGCCAUGCUGGCUUUCUUACACAAUCUUUCGUACUUACAAGAAGAUCCUUCAUGAACAUGUAUCGAGAUCGAGGCUACUACUGGUUGCGCCUGGCUAUCUACAUUACCAUUGCAUUAGGCUUGGGCACUGUCUAUCAAGAUCUUGGACAUAGUUAUGAAUCAAUUCAGGCAAGAAGCUCGCUGAUCAUGUUUGUAUCUUCAUUUCUAACUUUUAUGGCUAUCGGUGGAUUCCCCUCUUUUGUGGAAGAUAUGAAGGUAUUUGAACGAGAAAGAUUAAACGGGCACUAUGGUGUUUCUGCAUUCGUUUUUGCCAACACAUUUUCCUCUGUGCCUUUCUUGAUAUUGAUUUCAGUGAUUCCUGCCGCCAUAACUUAUUACGUCGCUGGACUUCACAAAGGAUUUGAACACUUCUUCUACUUUGCUUGUGUGUUAUUUGCUUGCAUGAUGCUGGUUGAGAGCCUGAUGAUGAUAGUUGCUAGCAUUGUGCCCAACUUCCUCAUGGGAAUAAUCGCCGGUGCUGGAAUUCAAGGGCUUAUGAUUAUGUGUGGCGGUUUCUUCCAACUACCAAACGAUAUUCCCAAGCCUCUGUGGAAGUUCCCAUUGUACUACAUUGCGUUCCACAAGUAUGCAUACCAAGGACUGUUUAAAAAUGAAUUCAUAGGCACAACAUUUCCUAGCAGUGAUCAAGGAGGAAAAACAUCCAGUCUCAGUGGGGAACAUAUUCUGAGAGAUAAAUGGCAAGUCGAAAUGGGUUACUCUAAGUGGGUUGAUCUUGCAAUCUUGGUAGGGAUGAUUCUUCUGUAUCGAGUUUUGUUCUUGGUUAUUAUCAAGGCCACAGAGAAAGUGAAGACUAUUGGUACAACUCUUUUGGCAAUGCCUCUCAAUAAGCGAAGCAUGCAAAUAUUGGUCAAUCCGUCCUCUACGCCUGUGCAUGGAGGGAAUCUGUAGUGGUAGUAGCAUAAUACAAAUGGUAUUGUUGGUAUUAUAAAUUAAGCAUGAAGAUAGGUAUUUCUAGCAGUAUUGGAAUGGAAUAGGAAGUAUGUGUGCAAUAAAGUUGAAGUUGUACUAUAUAUCCAGUAUCUAGUGAGUAUUUUUUAUUUUCUAGUUAUGAGAAUAAUAUAAUUAAUGUUGAUCAGAAAGGAUAUUUGGAUGCAUUGCAUGUCCCAAGUUACAUGAAAUCAGAGAAUUUUGGAA